rnacentral:rRNA from 1 species
AGCAGUAGCCGCGGGAAUAUGGAGGGGGCUAGCGUUGUUCGGAAUUACUGGGCGUAAAGCGCACGUAGGCGGCUUGGUAAGUUAGAGGUGAAAGCCAGGAGCUCAACUCCAGAAUUGCCUUUAAGACUGCCGAGCUAGCAGGUGAGAGAGGUAAGUGGAAUUCCGAGUGUAGAGGUGAAAUUCGUAGAUAUUCGGAAGAACACCAGUGGCGAAGGCGGCUUACUGGCUCAUACUGGACGCUGAGGUGCGAAAGCGUGGGGAGCAAACAGGAUUAGAUACCCCGGUAGUCCCUGUCUCUUAUAC